rnacentral:rRNA from 1 species
AUUGAACGCUGGCGGAAUGCUUUACACAUGCAAGUCGAACGGCAGCACGGACUUCGGUCUGGUGGCGAGUGGCGAACGGGUGAGUAAUGUAUCGGAACGUGCCCAGUCGUGGGGGAUAACGUAGUGAAAAUUACGCUAAUACCGCAUACGACCUAUGGAUGAAAGCGGGGGAUCGCAAGACCUCGCGCGAUUGGAGCGGCCGAUAUCAGAUUAGGUAGUUGGUGGGGUAAAGGCUCGCCAAGCCAACGAUCCGUAGCUGGUCUGAGAGGACGAACAGCCAAACUGGAACUGAGACACGGUCCAGACUCCUACGGGAGGCAGGAGUGGGGAAUUUUGGACAAUGGGCGAAAGCCUGAUCCAGCCAUUCCGCGUGCGUGAUGAAGGCCCUCGGGUUGUAAACUGCUUUUGUACAGAACGAAAAGGUUUCUACUAAUACUAGGAGCUCAUGACGGUACUGUAAGAAUAAGCACCGGCUAACUACGUGCCAGCCGCCGCCGUAA